rnacentral:rRNA from 1 species
AGUGAACGCUGGCGGUAGGCCUAACACAUGCAAGUCGAACGGCAGCACAGUAAGAGCUUGCUCUUACGGGUGGCGAGUGGCGGACGGGUGCGGAAUACAUCGGAAUCUACUUUUUCGUGGGGGAUAACGUAGGGAAACUUACGCUAAUACCGCAUACGACCUACGGGUGAAAGCAGGGGAUCUUCGGACCUUGCGCGAUUGAAUGAGCCGAUGUCGGAUUAGCUAGUUGGCGGGGUAAAGGCCCACCAAGGCGACGAUCCGUAGCUGGUCUGAGAGGAUGAUCAGCCACACUGGAACUGAGACACGGUCCAGACUCCUACGGGAGGCAGCAGUGGGGAAUAUUGGACAAUGGGCGCAAGCCUGAUCCAGCCAUACCGCGUGGGUGAAGAAGGCCUUCGGGUUGUAAAGCCCUUUUGUUGGGAAAGAAAAGCAGCAGGUUAAUACCCCGCUGUUCUGACGGUACCCAAAGAAUAAGCACCGGCUAACUUCGUA